CCCGGGUCUUGUACACACCGCCCGUCACACCAUGGGAGCGGGAUGUACCAGAAAGUAGGUAGGCUAACCGCAAGGGGGCCGCUUACCACGGUGCGUUUCGUGACUGGGGUG
rnacentral:rRNA from 1 species